rnacentral:lncRNA from 1 species
CAAUUUCAAAUAAUAAUGUGCGAAAUAUUAAAUAAACAAUAAUAAUGUCUACAAAAGAAGAAUAGAGCUUAUAAAGGGGAAUGAGGAGCUAGACUGCUAGAUGGAGAUACGUAAUGCAAUUUGCUUGCUUCUCUAAUUUGGAUAGAGAUGGAGUCAAGCCGUGAGACCGCAACGCGCUCCCGAGUGUAGAUGUAAAAUAAAGAAGAUAAGGAUUACCAAGUAAAUUGGCGCUUAACAAAAUUAAUACAUGAGAUUAGCAAUUAGAAUAAAAUCACUUUCCAACAAAAAUUCUCAUGGGAAUAUGGAUCUUAAAAGGUUAAAAUUUGUUUCAUUAACUAAACAACCAACGUGCAACCUUAUGCCAUAGUUUAUCUUUUGCAUAAGAGGGAACAAAAUGCAAUAUUUACAUUCAUACAGUUAAUUAAGCUAUCACUAAAUACAAUAUAAUUUUUUGUAUUACCAUUUCAUACAACACACUUGAUUCAAGAGGGACAAACGUUUAAAAUGCAUAGUAAUUAAACAAAAGGAAGAAGCCUAAUGCACAUAACUUAUCACUUGUGAAUAUGAGAAGAAAAGGAAGUAUUGAAUUAACAACUUUGGUUCUACUUAUACAAACUACUUGAAGAGUAAGAAGAUUAAACAACAAGCCUCGGUGCCCACAAGUUUCACACAUCUGCUAGAUUUAUAAAGAAUAAAAAAGAGGUCACACAUUAUCAGAAAGAAAAAAAAGUUUUUAGCACGUUUUAAGAAUCUGACACAAUCGAGACUGGACUACAACUUGUCUUCCCUUUUCUUCUUACGUAACUAAAGCUUUUGGUUAAAUACUCUUGCUGAACAGAUUACUGAAAUUAUCCCAGUAACAUCGUUUUCAAUUAAAAUUGAAUACAAGGUGAUUCUAAAGCUCCAAAUAGUUACCUAGUUAAAGCAUGCAGUCCCAUUUUUGCGCUCACGAUAAACUCACCCCUGUUUUUGAGAAACUAAGGAAGAGGUCACAAAGUUUUAACACUUAAAAUAGUAGAUAUACAAUGCAUUGACAGACCACUUUUAUUUGUGCAGGAAGAGUAUGAAUUGAACCAAAAUUCAUGUUCGCUUUGAAAGUAAAAUAAGGAAACCACAGUGUUAAAUCGAGUCAAGCUUAGAAGAAAAGAAAAGAAGAUUCAAUCAAACCAUCACACUAUAAAUAGCUAUAUGAAUUCAUUAAACUAAUACUGAUUCUAGAAAGAAAAAAUAUGGGUCAUGAUGUUUAAACACAAUCUAAACUGAGAUGUCAUUGAAAAAACUUGUGUACAUUUUGUGAACUUGAGCAAACUUACGAAUGAUUUCGAAUUUUAGCAACAUAUUCAAGAUCCUGUUAUUAUACAAAUUCAACCAACCACACAAAUAAAACUGAAAAAGAACAUCAUGCAACCAUAUUUACAAAAUAAUAAUGCAUAUAUAAUGGAUCACAGCU